UAUAAAGUGUUGAAAAGAAGUAGUACUAUAACUUUGUAAUCUUAAGAGAGCUGUUGGAAGGUGUAAAACAGUGUUUACAUUAUAGGAACUUGUCUUGGAGCUUACUUGUGAUAAACAAGUACGGGAUUCCCGUUAAAGAUUUCGAGUGAGAACUAUUUUAAGUAAGAGUGAAAAGUUAAGAAUUUUUUAAUCAUUAACUAUUAACUACUAGCUAGUUCUAAUAAGAGUGGUACCACGAAGCAACAGCUUUCGUCUCUUAA
rnacentral:ncRNA from 1 species